GUGGGAUAGCAGUGGAUAAUGCAGUAACACUCUCCUUCCAGGAUUCUGGGAGAUCAAGGAGAUCUGGAUUUGGGGAAUGUCAGAGGUCUGGAGACAGGAAAAAGAUUGCGUCCCAAACCCUAAGGAGCCAGCUGCUUGGGGUCCCUGUGGCUCAGAGGGACUGUGCACCUGCUGCUCUGUGCUGACAGCCUCAAGCUUGGCUGUUAGGAUUGUAUCACUUGCAGCCCAAACUGCCAGGGGACACUGACUGGUAAAAGGCGACAGAAGGAGUCGGAGAAAUCCAGGCCCCGGGAGGGAGUCUCUUCCAUCUGCUGGCUGUUUUGGGAGUACAGUGCUCCCAGGGUGCCGCGCUGGUCUGCAGGGAACACCCUCUCUGCAUUUUUCUCUCUUGACUCUGGAUCUGCUCCCACCCCUGAUUACCUAUGCCC
rnacentral:lncRNA from 1 species